rnacentral:rRNA from 1 species
UACGUAGGGGGCAAGCGUUGUCCGGAAUUAUUGGGCGUAAAGCGCGCGCAGGCGGUUAAUUAAGUUGGGUGUUUAAGCCCGGGGCUCAACCCCGGUUCGCAUCCAAAACUGGUUGACUUGAGUAUAGGAGAGGAAAGUGGAAUUCCACGUGUAGCGGUGAAAUGCGUAGAGAUGUGGAGGAACACCAGUGGCGAAGGCGACUUUCUGGCCUAUAACUGACGCUGAGGCGCGAAAGCGUGGGGAGCAAACAGG